rnacentral:rRNA from 1 species
UACAGAGGGGGCAAGCGUUGUUCGGAAUUACUGGGCGUAAAGGGCGCGUAGGUGGCCUGCUAAGUCGAACGUGAAAUCCCUGGGCUCAACCCAGGAACUGCGUCCGAUACUGGUUGGCUUGAAUCCGGGAGAGGGAUGUGGAAUUCCAGGUGUAGCGGUGAAAUGCGUAGAUAUCUGGAGGAACACCGGUGGCGAAGGCGGCAUCCUGGACCGGCAUUGACGCUGAGGCGCGAAAGCUAGGGGAGCAAACGGGG